UCGGUGAUACCUUUUUACAUGAUAAUCAAGUGGACCGGUCAAGGCAGGUCGCAGAAUGAAAAUAAGACUAAAGUCGUACACUACGGCUUAACUUGAACUCAGAGAUAUGUCAACGAAAAAGUUAAAAAUGGUGAUGGUGAUUUUGGAAAGCCUUGCAGGAACUGGUCAUAAAAUUGUACGACUUAAACCCAAGGGAUCAGACAAGCUGGAAUUAGUAUUUAAAGAUCCUAUAGUGGAGCAACCAGUGUUAUACAAGGAGUUAAAGAAGAUCAGAACUUUGAAGAGUUAAUACAGGUUGACCUCUCUAUGACCUUUGAUGUCUGAUCAGAGGAUAAUGAGGAGAAUUCUUUUCAAUUUUGUGUGUUAAGAAAAUGCAAUUAUUUUUACCUUAAGUAAUAAGUUAGAAGACAAAGAUUGAAUUAUACUAAAGUGACAUCUCUGUUUCCAGGGACUACAGUUGCUAAGAUAUAUUCACAUAAUUUAUGUUUUGUGUAAAAUUAUAAUGUGAAGUAUUUAGUUUAAAUUUGUCUAAGUGUUAUGUAUACUUACAAAUAAAAUAAUAAAGAUGUAAAUCAUA